CUGGAGGAGAUUCCGAGAAGCCUGAGCUCUUACUGUGGGAUCCGCUGCUCGAGGCGCUGCUGUUAGAACCGGUUAAACCACCUUAAACGCCACGAAAACCCGAGAUGAGCUUUUCCACAGUUUAUAUUCUAUGGAUUUUACUAUCCACCCUUUGGUUUGCAGAGAUGAAGAUGCACAUGACGCAUCGCAGAUCAGCUAACUUCGUUGCUGGUCUUGUAUUUAAUCUUCAGUGCGAUAGAAACCGUCAGAAUGUGAGCUGGAGUCGUGUUCCCAGUCAGAGCUUGGGAAAUAUCACUGGAAUAACCGUUAAGGACAACGCACUGUGGUUCCUUCCAGCCGAGCUUGUCCACAGCGGAGAGUACUCCUGUUUCAGCAGG